UACGUAGGUGGCGAACGUUAUCCGGAAUUACUGGGCGUAAAGGGUCCGUAGGCGGCUGAGGGAGUCGGACGUGAAAUCUCGCGGCUUAACUGCGAGGGGUCGUUCGAUACUGCUCAGCUAGAAUCCGACAGAGGUCGGCAGAAUUCCCGGUGUAGUGGUGGAAUGCGUAGAGAUCGGGAGGAAUACCGAAGGCGCAAGCCGCCGGCUGGGUCGAGAUUGACGCUGAGGGACGAAAGCGUGGGGAGCGAACAGG
rnacentral:misc_RNA from 1 species